UGUAGGUGAACCUGCAGAAGGAUCA
rnacentral:rRNA from 2 species